rnacentral:lncRNA from 1 species
CCCUGCAGCCUGAAAGUCGAAAUGCCUGAAAAUUCUGGAGUCUACAGUGCUACACAGAUGGCAAGUUCAAAGCCUUCCUACCUGUUGAGACGUGAGCCCAAGUUCUCAAUACCUAAUGAAGUCAGCAAUGUUUAAUGGCAAACACAAUGAGUGAAACAAUAGCCUCCAGGUUAGAAAACAGGCCUUGGCAGGCAUGUGACAGAGAAGGUUUGUUAUACGACCAAGGAUCUGUUGAAAUUUCCAUUAAUUGUGUGAUUUGCUGAAGAUCAGCACCUUCCUCAUUGGCAAAGAAUUGGACUAAGCAGAACUUUAUAUUUUCUGCUGAGUUUAACAGUGGUGCUCCAGCAUGUGACCUCUGGAGAGCCUUUAUAAAGGGAUUCUAUCAUUAAACAUUGGGAGUUCCAAAUGCAUUCCGAGCCCUUCAAUUAAAUAAAAAUUUCCUGCAUACCUACUGUGUAUGCAGUAUUCUUUUGAAAAUACCAGAUUACAUAAAUGAGGGAUUCAGUGUCCUAAUAUUUUCCCUUUGGUUGAAGAAACAAGGCUAACACACCUGAAAUAAUUAGAACCCAAUUUAUGUUGUUUUGGAAGCUUACUAGCUUUAUGAUUGCAAUUUUCGACCUAUUUACAAAACUGCUUUAAUUUUCAAUUUAUCGAGAAUUUGUAGCUUACCUAUUUUGUGCUGAGUACUGUAUAUACAGUGUAUAUAAUUUCAUGAGAACAAAUUUAGAAUUUGAAAGACCUGAUUUCAAAUUCUGAUCCUGAUAUUUACUAAGUUGCAUGACUUUGAGACUCUUCUGGAAUCAUUUCCUUAUUUGAUAAAUGAGGAUAAUAAUGUUCAACUUCUGGAAUUCUGUAAAAUUACGUCUUAAUGUAUGAAAGACAGUACAGUUCUUAGUAGGCCUUCAAUGAAUGAUGAAUGUCAUUAUCCUUGGUAUUGUAAGGAUUAUGAAAAAGAGGGAGACACAAUCCCUAAAGAGUUUAUAAUAUAUAUAUUCUUGAUAUUAAAUUCUACCAGUAAUUUUAAGUAAAAUGUCAGAGUUGAAUAAAAGUGAUCUGGGACAUUUGGCCACUUAAAUUUAAAUUUGAUCUGGUUCUCCAUUUGCUUUGAAGACUAGUAAAAUUCUAUACGUUUGUACUCUGCAAGAGGCAAGGCUAUUACCAAGUUCUCCCCAUUUGCCAAGGAGACAGCUCCAACUUUCAAUAGCUUUGUCUUCACCCCUGCUAGAUCUAGAAUGGAUGGAGACUGAAGAACAAUUUAUGAAUAGAGCCAAAUGAAAUUAAAGUUCAGCCAACUUUUGGCCAUUUUUUUUUUUAAUGUUUUAAACUAGGAUAUUACCAUGUUUUUCAGGACUCUUAGUGCAACUGACAGGAAUCAACUCCAGUUAGCUUAUGUCAAGUAUUGCAUAUGGUGGAGGGUUACCUAUACCUAAAGAAAGAGUUUUGGGUUUAGCCCAGCAUGGGUCAUAUGCCUGUCACUGAACAAAUGCCUUUAACCAAAGGGAUGGUGGGCCUAUGAUUAGGUCAAGAGCUGGGUCAGGUGCUUCCCCUUUGGCUAUUGCUGGAUGUCCAAAAACAAUAGUUACCUUACUGAGCCAACUCUAUCUAGUGGCCUAUGUGAUCUCUUAGUUAAAACUCUGGAGAGGACAUGGUUUCUCUGUGGUUCCAAAUUUAAGUGAGGCCAGUGGCCUUAAGGAUAUUUCAUUUUAGGAAGUCUACUGUGGUAAAGACUGAAGACUGAGUGGCCCACCAAAUCUAUUACACUGGAUUUUGGAGAGACAUAACUUCACUGACUGCUUACUCUGGGAAGAUGAGCUGUGUUCCCUUCAGCUAAGAGCCAAAUGUACCAGCCUUAACUCUAGACAGAGGAGAAAUGUUGCAAAAAGCCAAAUAACUCUAUGCUCCUGCACAAGUCAGUGAAUCAUGAGCAUAGUAAGCUUCUGGAGUUUUCUUACAAGUUUGGGCUGGAUCUGAUCUUCCCUUCACCUCUCCACCACCACCACACCAAAUGAUUCCCCUCCCUUCCCUAAUUCAUCCAUGCUACCCUAUUAUAUUGUUGGAAAGUCAUACCCUGAGUGUCCUUUUUAUGGAGGAUAAACCUCAGACCACAUAGGGUCAAAAAAGGAACUAAUAGUGUAAGCCUCGAUGCCUACCCCAAAAUGAGGAAGAAGGUGGUCUUCUCCCCUCCCCACUUUUUAUUUGAUUAUAAAAUAAUAUAGCCCUCUCUGUUCUUGGGGCUGCACUCCCUUGUUGCCCACUUGUAUUCUCACAAGCAUCGUGUGUCAAUAAAUUCACUCUUUGCCUGCCAAAGCAAGUACAUACAUACAUAUGUACAUAAAAGAGCUUCUAUGUCCCAGAAUGAUAUUGACAAGCAUCCUUUUGGCUGUACAGUUAUUUCCUUACCUUCCUUCCCCUGAUCCCCAGUCAUGCUUGUGUUCCUCUAGUUGACCCUGCCUACCCCCCCUUAGGCAUUUAAAACUCUAUCUGUUCUUGAAGGCAACAAAGCUUUCUCAACUAGACUGUAAGGUCCAAAAGGGCAAAACUCUAUCCACCUUGUUUGAUGAACAUCCCAGUGCCUGGCACAGGCCCUCCUUAGAUUUAGUGGCAGGAAGGAUGGAAGGAAGAGAGAGAGAAAUUGUCUGAGCCCCUACUAUCUUUGCCUUCUUUGAACUCUUGUAUUUAUAGUCACUACUUAGCCGAACUAAGGGCUACUUCUUGCUUUACCUGAGGGCGCUAAUACCUUGAAGACAGAGUUACAUUUCCGUAGUCAGCCCCCUUCCAGGACCUGAUAGCUUCUUAAUAAAUAUCCUUGUUGGUGAAAGAAUAGUCUGUCUAGAGACCUCCUUUAUGGGCUGUGUACAGGUCCAGUGUCCUCAGCACUCAAAAUUGCUGCUCUCUGUUAAUAAUGAUCAGCCCAAUGGACUUCUUCCAGCAACCCCAAAGAACAAACAGCACCCUUAGAGUUGCUGGAAGAGAAACAGACAAAUUCCACUCUCCAUGGCCCUCUGCAGAAACAAUUCACGUGAGUUUUCCUACCUGAAUGACACCAACCCCUAAAACUUCAGGCUUAGUAUUGAUGUUGUCAUGGUUACUAUUUUUUUUUUUUUCCAAAUAGAAGUGAACAGGAACAAAAGAAUUUUAUUGUGUUGGGGACAGAUGUCACCCCCUCUGCAGUACUCACACUGCAGGUACUGGUUAGGGGCCAUGCAUCUUCUCCUUAAGCCCCAAUGAGCUGGAGAUGAUGUAAAUUCUCCCAGCUCGGUUCCUUAUGGAAAGCUUGGAAAAUGACCUACACCCUGGCCCUUUUGAUGAAGCAGAUCCUUCUGCACUUUGAGCUCCCAGUGUGUUACAGCCCCCUGGAGACACCAUCCCCUACCUGCCUGGAUUAUUCAUGUAAGUUCCCAGGACCACACGCUGCUAUUUGCUCUUCCUGUGGGCCUCUGCUCACAGGUUUCUAAUAUUUGCUUCUGGCUCCUUGGCUUGGAGACCUGCCCAGGCUUCAUUCUCAGGAGUAUUGGGCUCAGAUCCUGUUUGUCUCUGGGAUUUCCAAGCUGCCCAUCUCUCUCCAGCUUCAGGGAACACACACUUUUCAUCAGUUCCACCCUGCGGGAAACUUCAUCCUGGCCAAUUGUUGGACUUGUUCUGCCCUGGGGAGGAGGAUAUAGACACGUGCUAUUAAAGAUGAAUGUGGAAUUCCUGUUGUGGCUCAGUGGUUAAUGAACCCAGCUAGUAUCCAUGAGAAUGUGGGUUUCAUCCCUGGCCUCGCUCGGUGGGUUAAGUAUCCGGUGUUGCUGUGAGCUGUGAUGCAGGUCAUAAACACGCCUUGGAUCUGGUGUUGCUGUGGCUGUGGUGUAGACUGGUAGAUGCAGCUCUGAUUCAACCCCUAGCCUGGGAACUUCUCUAUGUAGCAUGUGAGGGUAUAAAAAAAAAUAAAAAUAAGAAAAAAUAAAAUAAAGAUGAACCUAUCUGGAUCAAAGAUGCAGAUGGGCAGACAGGAGCUGGCUCCAUAACACUGGCCUGGCCUCUCCUGACAAAUGCACCCCAUAAAAGAUCUGCGUCUGUCCCAUCCCGACUCUAUGCCAUCUGCAUUUUCUAGCUCACUGUGUUCUUCCUUAUUCUCCUGUAUUCCAUCUCCCCUCAGUCUUCGAAUUUGGCCCCUGACUCUAUUUUUGGCUUUAACCUUGCCUCUUCCUAACAAAAAUUCUGGUCUCACCCUCAGCAUUUUUGAAUCAAUCUUUUGUCUUCUGUUUCGCCUGGCCUCUUGUUCCCCAUCAGUUUUCCUUGUAGCUGUGCCCUCCUGGACCCUCCCUGAGAGCUGGAAAGUCCAGGCAGAAUGGGUGAUUUUCCCAAAAAUUCUAGGGUUUUCCAAAGCCUCAUUUCAAAUGCAGGUAGGAAAGUGUUUUUCGUUUUUGGUCUUUCAGGACUGCACCCAUGGCAUGUGGAUGUUCCCAGCCUAAGGGUUGAAUCUAAGCUGCAGCUGCUGACCUACACCAUAGCUACAGCAAGGCCAGAUUCAAGUCACAUCUGUGACCUGCACCACAGUGGGUUAAGGAUCAGCAACACCAGAUCCUUAACCCACGGAGCGAAGCCAGGGAUCAAACCCACAUCCUCAUGGAUACUAGUUGGGUUUCUUACUGCUGAGCCAUGAUGGGAA